GUUGCUUUGGCCGAGUGCUUAAGGCGUGUGCCUGCUAAUUACAUAUAUGGGGUUUUCCCGCGAGAGUUAGAAUCUCCCAGGCAACG
rnacentral:tRNA from 1 species